rnacentral:rRNA from 1 species
CCUACGGGAGGCAGCAGUGGGGAAUCUUGCACAAUGGAGGAAACUCUGAUGCAGCGAUGCCGCGUGAGUGAAGAAGGCCUUUGGGUUGUAAAGCUCUUUCGUCGGGGAAGAAAAUGACUGUACCCGAAUAAGAAGGUCCGGCUAACUACGUGCCAGCAGCCGCGGUAAUACGUAGGGUGCGAGCGUUGUUCGGAAUUACUGGGCGUAAAGGGCGUGCAGGCGGAUUGGCAAGCCGGAGGUGAAAGCCCGGGGCUCAACCCCGGAGGGUCUUUCGGAACUGCCAGUCUUGAGAGGGUCAGGGGCCAGCGGAAUUCCUGGUGUAGAGGUGAAAUUCGUAGAGAUCAGGAGGAACACCGGCGGCGAAAGCGGCUGGCUGGGGCCACUCUGACGCUGAGGCGCGAAAGCGUGGGGAGCAAACAGGAUUAGAUACCCUGGUAGUCCACGCCGUAAACGAUGGGCACUAAGCGUCCGACGGGUUCGACCCUGUUGGGUGCUGCAGUUAACGCGUUAAGUGCCCCGCCUGGGGAGUACAGUCGCAAGACUAAAACUCAAAGGAAUUGACGG